AGAGUUGAGUCAUGGCUCAGAUUGAACGCUGGCGGCAGGCCUAACACAUGCAAGUCGAACGGAAACAUGUCUAGCUUGCUAGAUGAUGUCGAGUGGCGGACGGGUGAGUAAUACUUAGGAACAUGCCUUUGGGUGGGGGAUAACUAUUGGAAACGAUAGCUAAUACCGCAUAACGUCUACGGACCAGGGGGCGCUUGCGCUCUCGCCUAAAGAGUGGCCUAAGCGAGAUUAGCUUGUUGGUGAGGUAAAGGCUCACCAAGGCGACGAUCUCUAGCUGUUCUGAGAGGAAGAUCAGCCACACUGGGACUGAGACACGGCCCAGACUCCUACGGGAGGCAGCAGUGGGGAAUAUUGCACAAUGGGGGGAACCCUGAUGCAGCCAUGCCGCGUGUGUGAAGAAGGCCUUCGGGUUGUAAAGCACUUUCAGUUGUGAGGAAAGCAUAAUGGUUAAUACCCAUUAUGUGUGACGUUAGCAACAGAAGAAGGACCGGCUAACUCCGUGCCAGCAGCCGCGGUAAUACGGAGGGUCCGAGCGUUAAUCGGAAUUACUGGGCGUAAAGCGCGCGUAGGCGGUUUGUUAAGUGGGAUGUGAAAGCCCAGGGCUCAACCUUGGAACUGCAUUUUGAACUGGUAGACUAGAGUACUGUAGAGGGUGGUGGAAUUUCCAGUGUAGCGGUGAAAUGCGUAGAGAUUGGAAGGAACAUCAGUGGCGAAGGCGGCCACCUGGACAGAUACUGACGCUGAGGAACGAAAGCGUGGGGAGCGAACAGGAUUAGAUACCCUGGUAGUCCACGCCGUAAACGAUGUCAACUAGCCGUUUGUGUCCUUGCGUGAGUGGCGCAGCUAACGCACUAAGUUGACCGCCUGGGGAGUACGGCCGCAAGGUUAAACCUCAAAUGAAUUGACGGGGGCCCGCACAAGCAGUGGAGCACGUGGUUUAAUUCGAUGCAACGCGAAGAACCUUACUAUCUCUAGUCAUCCACAGAAUUAUGCAGAAAUGUGUAAGCCAGCAAUGGCCUGUUUACAGGUGCUGCAUGGUUGUCGUCAGCUCGUGCCGUGAGGUGUUGGGUUAAGUCCCGCAACGAGCGCAACCCCUAUUCUUAGUUGCCAGCGAGUAAUGUCGGGGACUCUAAGGAGACUGCCUGCGCAAGCAGUGAGGAAGGUGGGGACGACGUCAAAUCAUCAUGGCCCUUACGCCCAGGGCUACACACGUGCUACAAUGGCCGGUACAAAGGGUUGCCAACUCGCGAGAGUGCGCAAAUCCCAAAAAGCCGGUCUCAGUUCGGAUCGGAGUCUGCAACUCGACUCCGUGAAGCCGGAAUCGCUAGUAAUCGCGUAUCAGCUACGACGCGGUGAAUACGUUCCCGGGCCUUGUACACACCGCCCGUCAAGCCAUGGGAGUCGGGGAGACCUGAAGCGGUAGGUUAAAGACACCGUUAGGGUAAAAUCGGCGACUGGGGCUAAGUCAUAACAAGGUAGCCGUA
rnacentral:rRNA from 1 species